GCUAAACGCGAAGAACCUUACCAAGGCUUGACAUACACCAGAACACCCUGGAAACAGGGGACUCUUUGGACACUGGUGAACAGGUGGUGCAUGGUUGUCGUCAGCUCGUGUCGUGAGAUGUUGGGUUAAGUCCCGCAACGAGCGCAACCCUCGUUCUAUGUUGCCAGCACGUAANNGGUGGGAACUCAUGGGAUACUGCCGGGGUCAACUCGGAGGAAGGUGGGGAUGACGUCAAAUCAUCAUGCCCCUUAUGUCUUGGGCUUCACGCAUGCUACAAUGGCCGGUACAAUGGGCUGCGAUACCGUAAGGUGGAGCGAAUCCCAAAAAGCCGGUCCCAGUUCGGAUUGAGGUCUGCAACUCGACCCCAUGAAGUCGGAAUCGCUAGUAAUCGCAGAUCAGCAUUGCUGCGGUGAAUACGUUCCCGGGUCUUGUACACACCG
rnacentral:rRNA from 1 species